CUAAAAAAGAAAAAAACAGUCUUGCUUGCAGCAGGUGUCUCAUGCACUACUUUCUUCAAUCCUUUUGUGCCAUAGUGGGAAUCUGGACCCUAAAUGAGAACAAAAGGUUCCUUAGUAAUUUUCAUUUAAUAAGCACUCAGUUUAAUGUGGUGUUUUAAUUAGAUUAAUGUUCCAUUAUAUUUCACUAUCAUUCCUAUAUAAAAUUUUAUGCUGUCAUUUAGAGAAAAAUGAAGUUUUUACCAAAAAACUAAUUAAUGAAUAAAAAUACUGAAUGUACAGCCCAGCUAUUAGAGAAUAGUGAAAAGAUUUUACAAAAAUAACUUUUAUUUUCUGCCAAACAUUCAACUGCUUACUGAAACAAAGGGCUACUUCUUAAGAAGAGCUAUUUCUUUCAGAACAGAGCUGUGGGGAGAAGUACUUCUUUUCGGAAGGCAGUGGAAUAUUUUAGCUCCCAGCUUCUUUUCCCCCCUCUUUAUAAAUGGCUCAGCUGUCAGUGACUCUCAGCUUCUAAAACACACAUUCUGCAACAUUCAAGAGGAAACCAUCUGGAACAUAGUGCAUGACUCUUACUUUGAGUGUUGCACAUGCUGUGUAGCACACAUUGGGCAGGAUCUCUAUGGGUUCCUUGAACAUGACCCUGAAUGUGUUAGCUGUCCCAUCACAACUAAAGCCGGUAUCAUUCUGUCCCAGGGUUUGCUUUUUCUCAUAUUCAAUGAUCUGUAAUUUUUAAGAGACAAGUUACAUUUAAGUUAAACCAAAUAAAGCAAACUAUAGAAAAUAAUAUAAAGCCCUUAGCAAUGUGUGCGUGUGUGUUUUGAGACAGACUCUCACUCUGUUGCCUAGCCUUGGGGGUGGGGGGGUGGGGGGUGGUGUGUGUGUGUGUGUGUUUGAGACAGACUCUCUCACUCUGUUGGUGGGUGUGUGUGUGUGUGUGUUUUUGAGACAGACUCUCUCACUCUGUUGCCUAGCCUGGGGUGCAGUGUUGGGGUCUCGGCUCACUGAAACCUCCACUUCCCAAGCUGAAGCAAUUUUCGUGCCUCAGCCUCCUGAGUAGCUGGGAUUACAGAUGUGCGCGACCACACCUGGCUAAUUUUUUUGUAUUUUUAGUAGAGACAGGGUUUCAUCAUGUUGGCCAGGCUGAUCUCCAACUCUUGGUCUCAAGCGAUCUGCCCACCUCAGCCUCCCAAAGUGCUGGUGUGAGCCACUGCGCCCAGCCCUAAUUUUUCAUUUUUUUUGUAGAGAUGGGAUCGUGUUCUGUUGCCCAGGCUGGUCUGGAACUCCUGGGCUCAAGCAAUCCUUCCACAUCGGCCUCCCAAAGUACUGGGAUUAUAGAUCUGAGCCACUGCGCCCAGACUGUUUCUAUUAUUUUACUCACAGUAUUUAUACUUCAUAAUUUUAAUGUACCUAUAAUCCUGAUGCCCUCCCACAGUUUGUACACAAGAAGCCUGGUGUCUUUUUUUUUUUUUUUUUGAGACGGAGUCUCACUCUGUAGCCCUGGCUGGAAGGCAGUGGCAUGACCUUGGCUCACUGCAACAUCUGCCUCCCAGGUCCCAGUUCAAGCAAUUCUCCUAUCUCAGCCUCCCGAGUAGCUGGGAUUACAGGCAUGCACCACCAUGCCCAGCUAAUUUUUUUGUAUUUUUAGUAGAGACAGGGUUUCACCAUGUUGGCCAGGCUGGUCUCAAACUCCUGACCUCGUGAUCCACCUUCCUUGGCCUCCCAAAGUGCUAGGAGGCCGAGGCAGGAGAAUUGUGUGAACCCGGGAGGCGGAGCUUGCAAUGAGCCAAGAUCGCGCCACUGCACUCCAGCCUGGGCAACAGAGCAAGACUCCAUCUCAAAAAAAAAAAAAAAAAAAAAAAAAAAGAAGCAGGGGCCUAAUGCCUGUAAUCCCAAUGCCUUGGGAGGCCAAGGCAGGAAGAUCACUUGAGCCCUGGAGUUCAAGACCACCCUGGGCAACACAGCGAGACAAAAAAAAAAAGAAAGAAAAAUUAGUUGGGCAUGGUGGCACAUACCUGUGGUCCUAGCUACUUGGGAGGCUGAGGUGGGAGGAUUGCUUGAGCCUGGGUGAUUAAGGCUGAAGUGAGCUGUGAUCGCACCACUGCUCUUCAGCCUGGGCGACCAAGUGAGACCCUGUCUCAAAAAAAAGUAACCAAGAAUAAAGCAGGGUCUGCUCAGCCCCUUGGAAGUCACAGGAUGCUCACACCAGUUACAAGAAAUUUAGUUUCAGUCCUAGAGUUGAAAGGGCCAUGAAAAAGGCAGGAGGAUGUUUUAAGACUGCACAGCAGGAAGUACUAAUAGAAGGGAUUCCUGGACAAAGAAGAGCUCCUUAUAUGCUACUGCUUUUGUGAAGGACCCCAAUUUUCUGCAACCAGACUUUUUAGAUCAACUCUAAAACAGAACUCUUUAUGCUUACAAUGCUACUAAGGGGCCUUCUGAUUGCUUUGACAAUUAUAUUGAAAUUUGGAUUCUGUCAAAACAAUAUCUUAAAGUUACCUGUUUGUGUUAUUUCAAAAUGAUAUAUGGUGGGGGAGGAAACUGUACCUGUAUAUUCACUUGAUAAUCUGUAGGGCCAUGAAUAGAUCCAUACAAGCCAAAUCCAACUAUAGAGAUCCUUCUAUUAACUGUGAAUCUGAGAGAAAGAAGCCAAAAAUAAAAUAUAAUUAAUCCCAUGUGUUCAUAUUCUGAAGGGUUAUAAUUUUUUUUAAGUGUAACCUGGAACAUCCAGUUUUGCUUAUAAAAAGGAAAACAAAUUAGAUAUCCUUGGAAAUGUCAUCUGUUUGCUUACCAAAAAGCUUUCUAGAGCAGAUUUGAACUUAAGAGGAACCUAAGAAUUGGUUUUGUAAAAGAAUUUAACCUAAAUACCCACUUUUGUUGUAAUGAUAAUUUUAGUGCUAUACGAGUCCAAAUAUUUGUACAUCUUUUUCAUGAACGCAGACAUCUCAGCCAUUAGGACUGAAGCCCAGCAUCUCAAACUACGACAAUUAUCAAUUCAACAAAUACUUACUAAGGGCUUAUCAUAUUUAGGUACUAGGCUUGGCACUGCGGAAGUAAUGGUCAACAAGACAGUUUCUACCUGCAUUGUGCAUACAGUCUAAUGGAGGACACUGAUAAUGCAAGAAAGGAAUAAAUAAAUAAUUACAAAUUGUAACAAGAGCUGUGAAGGAAGUAGGCUACUCUAACAGAAUACUGGUAGCAGAGGGAUGGGACAGGAUUCGAAUGCAGUUUCCUAACUAGAAUAAUUAACAAGUCCAGUUUGGUCAUAAUAGUUAAGAAAUAUUGACCCAUCUUACUCCAUUUUGUAAAUGAAUAAAAACUGACAUUAAAUACAUAUGGAACUGAGGCUGGGUGUGGUGGCUCACACUGCAAUCCCAGCACUUUGGGAGGCUGAGCCAGGUGGAUUACCUGAGGUCAGGAGUUUCAGACCAGCCUGGCCAACAUGGCAAAUCCCUGUCUUUACUAAAAAUAUAACAGUUAGCUGGGCAUGAUAGCAGGCACCUGUAAUCCCAGCUACUAGAGAAACUGAGGCAGGAGAAUCGUUUGAACCUGGGAGAAGGAAGCUGCAGGUGACCCGGCACUCCAUCCUGGGUGACAGAGCGAGACUCCUUCUCAAAUAAUAAUAAUAAUAAUAAUAAUAAUACAUAUGGAACUAAAAGCCUGUAAAAUCUGACAUAAUUAUAAUGUCUUACAUUGCAAAAUUACAUUGAGUAACUCUCAACAUUGUCAGCAACACCUUCAAUUAUUAGUAAUACUAACUCAUCAAUACCACUUCAUGAGUACUUCCUAGUGUGCCAGGCACUGAACUUCAGUUCUUUACAGAAUUAUUUCCUUUAGUCAUCGUAACAGCCCUAUAAGCUAGAUAACAGUACUAUUUUGAACAUCUGGUACAGUAAGAUCACCUUAAACGCUUACAAACAUGUAAUUUUUUUUAAAGAGAUGGAGUCUUGCUCUAUUGCCGAGGCUGGGGUACAGUGGUACAAUCAUGGCUCACCACAGGCUUGAACUCCUGGGCUCAAGUGAUCCUUCCACCUCAGCCUCCCAAGUAGCUGGGCUGCAGACACACUCCACCAUUCCUUGCUAGUUUAAUUUUUUUUUUUUUUUUUUUUACAGAUGGAGUCUAACUAAGUUGCCCAGGCUGGUCUAGAACUGGUCUCAGAUGAUACUCCCAACUCAUUGUCCUGAGUUGCUGGGAUUAUACCCAUGAGCUACCACUCCUGGCUCUAAAAUAUGUUAUUUAUAAUUUUUUAUUAUAAAAAAGUAGGGCAGGCACAGUGCCUCAUGACUGUAACCCAGCACUUUGGGAGGCUGAGGUGGGUGGAUCACCUGAGGUCAGGAGUUCGAGACCAGCCUGGCCAACAUGGUGAAGCCUCACCUCUACUAAAAAUACAAAAUUAGCCAGGCAUGGUGGCACACCCCUGUAAUCCCAGCUAUUCGGGAGGCUGAGGCAGGAGAAUUGCUUAGAACCCGGGAGGCGGAGGUUGUAGUGAGCCGAGAUUGUGCCACUGCACUCCAGCCUGGCAAUAGAGUGAAACUCUGUCUCAAAAAAAAAAAAAGCAUUUAGGAGAUUGACCUGGGUCAAUUCUUUUUUCUUUUUGUCCCCUUUCCUCAGAUGUUCUGAAGGUUGGAAAUAUGACUUACUACCAUUACCUAACAGUUAUUUCUUCUUCUUUCCUAGUUAAUACAACCUGAUUUCAUUUGGGCCACAACAUGUACAAAGAAGGAAUACCUGUCCCCAGGCCUCAGAGAAAAGUCAUGAUUGAUUGAAGCUUAGCCCGUUCCCCUGCUAGAGAUUGCUUCUGAACUCAGCAUGUGGCCAAUUAUGGCCAAUGAGAUGGAAGAGUCUGGAAGCAGGCUUUUGGAAAGAUUCUUGUAGCCUAGUUAAAGAUAAAAUCCCGGAAAGGGAAAAGCCUUGUGUUGACAAGCUUAAGAGUGAAAAACCAACGUGUUGAGGAGGAGGAUUAGGAAGACAUAAAGAGGCCGGGUUCUUAAUGACAUCCUUGAGCCACUGCAGCUAAAAAGGAAACUUCUUUCUCCAGGAUUCUUAUGUCAGAUUUUCAAAUGUCUUCAUGGCUUAAACCAGAUUUAUGCAUUCUGUUACCUGUAACUUCAUGUGUUCCCAGUGAAAACAGUACCUUGUAGAGUUGCUUGAGAAUCAAGACAGGCACUGAAAGUAAUGCGUCAAGCAUACAACAAGUUUCUAUCUUAUAAGCACUACCCAACAUCUUUUUCUCCUUUCUUCCCUGGUUUAUAAAACUUGAUUUUAUUUGGGCAGCCACAAGCACAAGGAAGGAGGACCUUGUUUCCAGGCCUCAGAGAAGAACCCAAAUAGGUCUCAGCAUCUCUCAGUAUACCUUAGUCCUUUUAGUUCCCUUUCCUUUUCCUUCUCCCAGCCAGCUGUCAUCCCUAAAUUCUUCUGUGGUCCAUGUUUCUCAACAUCCAUUUAAUCAUCAAACUCUUAGAUUUGAUUCCUAAUUAACCUUUCCUUUCUCCUUUCGUUGCAGCCGCCAUAGUCAAGACCCGUUCAUUUGUAGCUUAGAUUACUGCUCUUCUCAGCUCUUUGCUGCCUAGUUCAUACCCCCUCACCUCAUUCUCUGUAUAUCUACCAGACUAAGCUACUAAAAUGGCCAAGCUGAGCAUGUCACUCCUCUGCUUAAAAGUUUCACUAGGAUGGGCGCAGUGGCUCACACCUGUAAUCCCAGAAAUUUGGGAGGCUGAGGCGGGCAGAUCACCUGAGGUCAGGAGUUCGAGACCAGCCUGGACAACAUGGAGAAACUCCAUCUCUACUAAAAAUACAAAAUUAGGCCGGGCGCAGUGGCUCAUGCCUGUAAUCCCCGCACUUUUGGAGGCCAAGACGGGCAGCUCACAAGGUCAGGAGUUCAAGACCAGCCUGGCCAGCAUGGUGUAACCCCGUUUCUACUAAAAAUACAAAAAUUAGCCAGGCAUGGUGGUGUGUGCCUGUAGUCCUCAGGAGGCUGAGGCAGGAGAAUCGCUUGAACCUGGGAGGCGGAGCUUGCAGUGAGCCGAGAUCAGGCUACUGCACUCCAGCUUGGGCAACAGAGUGAGACUCCAUCUCAAAAACAAACAAACAAACAAACAAAACACAACAAAAUUAGCUGGGCAUGGUGGCAGGUGCCUGUAAUCCCAGCUACUCAGCUACUCAGGAGGCUGAGGCAGGAGAGUCACUUGAACCUGGGAGGCAGAGGUUGCAGUGAGCCAAGAUCACGCCAUUGCACUCCAGCCUGGGCAACAAGAGGGAAAUUACAUCUCAAAAAAAAAAAAAAAAAAAAAAAGGUUUCACUAACCUUCCUCCCCCGGCCAGGUGGCUGGGAGUUCCUAGAUUAUGCUGUGGGAUUAUAGCGUCUGGGCCAUUCUACCUGCUCUAACUACCUUUCUUCUGAAAGGCACUCUCUGCCCUGGUCUUUCAGGGUUCACAGUCUCUAUCUAACUAGCCUGCCUCCCUAGCUGAAUUAAUCACUCUCUCCUGAUGAGGUUCAGGACAUGUUACCCCAAAAGAUAGCAUCUUGGCAUUUGAGAAACAGCAGAAUUAGUAAGGUCACUCUCACCUCCCUCUUGCCCUUCUUUGGAGUGAAUCAUAAAACCCUCACUCCAGAAGUACCCUUCCUAUGUGCAGAGGAAAGGGGCAUUAGGAACAUCCUAAUCCUGAAGAGACACCAAGAAGAAUCUGAACAAACAGGACUUGCUGAGUUCCCCUCAGUUUCUUUCCAUUAGAUCACAUCCUCUUUGUCUAAUCAUACUUCCUCAUGACUACCCACUGGCUGGGGCUGGUCCUGGACUGAUAAGUACACACUUGAUCUCAGCCAAAGAGCAGAGAAGCGACGGACUGACCAAGUAUAAGGAGGCUCCAGACAACAUGCAGACACCCAGCAGCUGGCCCUUUUGCUUUUACACAUCAUUGCCCCAGAGAAACUCCUGAGCAUGUACACAAGGCAAGCAGUACAAGGAUGUUCACUACAACAUGGUUUGUAGUAGUGAAAAAUUUAAACCUAGCACAAAAAUGUGCAAGUUUCUUUGUUUCUUUUUUUUUUCUUUUUCUUUUUUUUUUAUUUUUUUAUUUUUU
rnacentral:lncRNA from 1 species